rnacentral:rRNA from 1 species
UACGGGGGGGGCAAGCGUUGUUCGGAAUUACUGGGCGUAAAGGGCUCGUAGGCGGCCAACUAAGUCGGAUGUGAAAUCCCCAGGCUUAACCUGGGAACUGCAUCCGAUACUGGAUGGCUUGAAUUCGGGAGAGGGAUGCAGAAUUCCAGGUGUAGCGGUGAAAUGCGUAGAUAUCUGGAGGAAUACCGGUGGCGAAGGUGGCAUCCUGGACCGAGAUUGACGCUGAUGAGCGAAAGCUAGGGGAGCAAACGGG